UACGUAGGCGGAAAAUUAAGUCAGUAGUGAAAUCCUGCAGCUUAACUGUAGAACUGUUAUUGAUACUGGUUUUCUUGAAUAUAGUUGAGGUAGGCGGAAUGUGUAAUGUAGCGGUGAAAUGCUUAGAUAUUACACAGAACACCGAUUGCGAAGGCAGCUUACUAAGCUAUGAUUGACGCUGAGGUACGAAAGCGUGGGGAGCGAACAGGAUUAGAUACCCUGGUGUCC
rnacentral:rRNA from 1 species